rnacentral:rRNA from 1 species
GGAUUAGAUACCCUGGUAGUCCACGCUGUAAACGAUGAGUACUAGCUGUUGGAUCUGGUGUAAAAGAUUUAGUGGCGCAGCUAACGCGUUAAGUACUCCGCCUGGGGACUACGGCCGCAAGGUUAAAACUCAAAGGAAUUGACGGGGACCCGCACAAGCGGUGGAGCAUGUGGUUUAAUUCGAUGCAACGCGAAGAACCUUACCAGCCCUUGACAUCCCGGUCGCGAAUAGUGGAGACAUUAUUCUUCAGUUCGGCUGGACCGGUGACAGGUGCUGCACGGCUGUCGUCAGCUCGUGCCG